rnacentral:lncRNA from 1 species
AUUUUCAAGGUGGGAAAACAUCAUUUUGAAAUUCAAAGUUACACCUGUAAUUCCAUUGAAAAGGUAGAGACAAGUCGUUCUCAGGUUGAAACUUCGAAGGGCACGUCUACUUCCACAGUAAACAAAACCCAAUAAAUAUAUAAACAAUCACUUUUGAAAGUACGAGUAGAUAUAGCACAAUAAAAAAAUUUACAAAUUCAAAACCCUAAACCCUAAAUUUAUUUUGAGAAAUAAAAACCAUAACUCCAAGUUUUCUUUUUUAAAAAUUUCAUAUGGAAAAAUGUUUUAUUUUAAUUUGCACUUGUUAUUUAUUCUAUUAUAAUUUUGCUCUUUUUAGUAAACAACACCUUUUCCUCAUUUUUUUUGUCCUGCUUUGAGUUGUAGGAGUAGAGGUAUACUCAUGGAAGAUGAAUAUUCAAAGUAUACACAUUAUCGUUUUGGAGAUGUAUUGAAAUUUACACCUUUUUAAUUCCAUUGAAAAAGUAAGAGAAAAGUAGUUGUGAAGUUGAAACUUCAAAAACCACUUUUCAAAACCCAAUGAAUCACGACUCCGUCCAUAAGAAAUCAAAUUCCAAAGAGUAGAUGGAAAAUCAACAUACUCAUCCUUCAAAGUCAUAUGAAUCUAUCAAUCUAUCAGUAACAACACUAUCGAUCAUUAAUAAUAUAUUUUUUUAUAUUUACAAUUAUGCUCGACGAUUCAUAAUUAUUAGAGAUAAAGUCUUACCCCACUGCAAUGAACUUAAGUAUAUACACAUAGUAUGAAGUAAAUGAAUAUUCAAAGUAGGACAUCUAUCAUAUUUUAAAACAUAUAUAUUAAAAACUUGACCUUUGAUUCCAUUGAACAAGUAGAGAAAAGUAGUUCUGAGUGUUGAUUAACAACUGGCAUUUGACUAAUAAUCAACAAGCAAAUCAUGGUUUUGCAGCAAUCUCCAAGAAUAAUCAAUCAAUCUCUCUCAAGGUUGAUUAAUCAAGGUAGCAGCCCAUGAUUUUUGGCAUAAAUCAGCAGUCAAAUACACAUGAAUGAUGAAUUAUUCCAAAAUUCAAUAUUUGAUUUUGGUGCAAAUUCCGUUACUCAGCUUGAAACUUCAAACAGACCAAAGUCUUCCAUUCACAAUAAAUUACUACGACUACUUUACUAUAUGAUUGUUUACAUGCUUUCUUUUCAAUUAAUGUUUAAUUAUUGUUAUAAAAGAGAGUACACAAUUGAAAUUAAAAUGUUUAAAAGUAGAAGGAUCCUACCAAAUGUUGAAACUUCAAAGACUACCAAGUCUCCAUCCAUAGUAAAUCAAACCCAAUAAAUAUAUGUUAUUACAGUAGACAUAACACAAUUGAAUUCAAUUUUUGGAGUCGAUCGAUCUACCAUUUAUAGGAUUCUACAAAUAUAAUGAUACAUUUUGCUAUACUUACUAGUUUUUUUUUUUAAAAAUUAUGCUGCACACAAUUAAUUAUUCAAUCUGAAAGUGAAAUAACUUCUAAGUAUAUACAUGGUAUAAAGAAAGUGAGUAGUCAAAGUAGGACACCAUAAUUUUGAAGUAUAUUAAAUUUCACUUUUAAUUCCCAUUGAAACAAGUAGAGAAAAGUAUAGUUAUUUGUCAGCUAGAACAAACCCUAUUCGUAGUUAAUAUAUAAUAUAUACAUAUGAUAUAUGUAAUAGAGCAAAUAUCUUAUCCAAACACCAAACUCUCCAUUAUGACCAACCAAAUUAAACACUCAAUAAUUCCACUUCCACUUGUGCCAAAAUCAGUUGUUUUGCUUCUUUUCUUAACAAUCCUUUGUAAAACAAGUGCCAUUAACAUUGAAACUGAGGCUCUGUUGAAAUGGAAAGCAAGUUUGGGAAAGCAAUCAAUUCUAGACACAUGGGAGAUUCUUCCAUCAAACUCAUCAAGCUCCUCCUCCAAAGCUUCAAAUCCAUGUCAAUGGACGGGAAUUACUUGCAACAGUGCAAGCAGUGUCACACAUAUCAAUUUGAUAAACACUGCUUUGAAUGGUACUCUUCAAACCUUCAGCUUCUCUUCAUUUCCCAACCUUCUUUGCUUGAAUCUCAACUCGAAUAAUUUUAAUGGAUCCAUUCCACCCUCCCUUGGACUUCUCAAUAAGCUCGAAUUUCUUGAUCUCUCCACGAACUCCCUCACUGGUACUCUCCCUUCUUCUCUUGCUAAUCUCACUCACCUCUACCAUCUUGACGUCUCCAAUAAUUACAUCACCGGAGGCUUGCAUCCGAGCUUCUUUCCAACUGAAAAUUCAAAAUUUGGCCUGAGAAGUAUGGAGAAGUUCAUUAUGCAAAGCACCAUGGUAAGUAAAAUAUCUGUAAUGAGAGCUGAGAAAAUAAAGUUCUAAAUUUCGUUAUCUCUCCAUGUAUACUCCCUCAGAGUUGUACUUGCUUUUUUGUCAUAUCUACUAAAUGGAAAAAGUGUUUGUGUAAAUCCCUAAACUCAAAUUGUCACCUCCUAGAAUUUCCCUAAAAUUUUUAUUCUCUACGUAUGAAUUUAUGCUCCAUCUGACAUAAAAUUCUAACUUCCACCAUACUCAGAUUGGAGGGGAGCUUACCGAGGAGAUAGGAAAUAUGAAGUCUCUAAGCAUCAUAGCUUUCGAUGACUGUAAAUUCUACGGCCUAAUUCCUAAAGCUAUAGGAAACUUGAGAAAUUUAACUGUACUUCGUCUCAAUGGUAAUGGUAAUUUCAGUGGUGAAAUUCCUGAAGGUAUUGGAAAAUUGACAAAAUUAUUUGAUCUAAGGCUGUUUGGUAACAAGUUAAGUGGGCCAUUGCCUCAAGACUUGGGAAUUUCUUCACCUUUGGUCGAUGUUCAUAUUUUUGAGAACAACUUUACGGGUCCUUUGCCCCCAGGUUUGUGCACCCAUGGCCAGCUUGUUAACUUCGCUGCAUUUACCAACUCUUUUACAGGUACUAUUUUCGAUUUUUUUUGUGUAUAAGAGUGAAAUUUAGUAUCAGUUUGGCAAUGUUCUUGGUUUUAAGAAAUACUUUUUAAAGUUAUUGAAAGUGGUGUUCGGUAAUUAUUUCGUUUUUUUGUUUCUCGUUAUUUAGAAAGAACCUGAAAGGAUAUAAACAAGAAAUAAGAAACAAAAACAUUUAGAAAGAACCUGAAAGGAUAUAAACAAGAAAUAAGAAACAAAAACAUUGAGCAUUUAGAAAAGAAAAACUAUUUUUCUUAGUUUCAAGUUUAACAAACAUAUAUGCUAGUUUGCUAAAAUGAACAUAGCUUAAGGAUAUAUAAUUGACAGGUAUGUACUAUAUCUGUUUUAAGUUUAAGAUUUUCUACUUGUAGUAUAUACCAAAAACACAUAAAAAGAUUUUCUAUUAUUCAUGUUUGUUACGAAACCCUGUUUUUUGUUUUUGAAAAACUAAUUUUCUUUUUAAUAAAAAAGUGUGUUUAGUAACAGAUUUUUUUUUUUUUUUUUUGUUUUCUAAACAAGAAGUUAACUUGAUUUUAAAACAAGGAAGGAAAAUUGAAAAUGAAAAAAAAAGAAAAAAAAUUUAAAAGAUACAUUUUGUUUUGAAAACACCAAACAAAAUCCAUUAUCAAACCUAUAUGGUUUUUGUUUUUAAUGAACAAAAAUUUAAAAAGUAGAAAAAAUUGAAAGGUUUAGCAAUCGGGGUCUCAUUUAUUUAAUUAAUUUAUGUAUUCAUGGUUGGUUCAAAUUUUACAGGUCCGAUUCCUAGCUUCAAAAAUUGCUCAGAGUUGCGUAGGCUUCGCUUAGAACACAAUCAAUUAACAGGUAAUCUGGAUGAAGCUUUUGGUGUUUAUCCAAAUUUAACUUACAUUGACUUGAGUGACAAUAAACUGACUGGAAACCUCUCUCCAAAUUGGGGGAAAUGCAAGAGUUUGACCAAGUUGAGCAUCGCCACCAACAUGGUUACUGGUGAAAUUCCAAAAGAAAUUACUCAAUUAAAGAAUUUAGAAGCCCUUGAUCUCUCCUUCAACAAUUUCUCUGGACUGAUACCGGAGAAUAUCGGAGAUUUAUCGUCGUUAUCGUCUCUACAGUUGCAAGGGAACCGCCAACUAUCUGGAAACAUACCACUGGAUAUCGGUAACCUUUCGAAUCUCGAAUCGCUCGAUCUGUCGAUGAACAAGAUUGAAGGUUCGAUCCCUAAGCAAAUUGGAGAUUGCUCAAGGCUUCGAAAUCUAAGCUUGAGUACGAACCGGUUGAAUGGUUCGAUCCCAUAUGAGAUAGGGAAUAUCUUAUCCUUGCAUGAUUUGUUGGAUUUGAGUAACAAUUCGUUGGUUGGGGAAAUUCCUUCAUCACUUGGGAAGUUGAUGCAUUUAGAGAGAUUGAGUUUGUCUCAUAAUCAUCUUUCUGGUGAAAUCCCUAAUUCCUUAAAGGAUAUGAUGGGAUUAGUGAGUAUAAAUCUUUCAUUCAACAAUUUAAGUGGAUCUCUUCCUUCUGGUGGUGCCUUUGACAAAGCUCAGCUACAAGAUUUUGUUAACAACACAGAUUUAUGUGGAAAUAUUGAGGGCAUGCAAAAAUGUUAUGUUUCCAUGGCAGAAUCCAAAAAUAAAAGGUACUAAACUCAUCCCUAAACUCAAAUGUUUGAUAUUUUUUCUUUUUCCUUUUCUUAAAUUAAAUAAUAAUAACUACAUUAAUAUAAAUAAUAAUCACUCACACGAUUUCAAAUAUAGAAAAAAUGAACCAAAAUGUUUAUAAUAAGCAUUAAACUUUAACUAGUAAAAUAAUAAUAUGUUUAUGUAUUCGUAUUAACUAGGCAGUAGAUAAUUGAUAUAGUCCAAAUUAUUGAAAUAUUUGUUCUAGCAUUCAAUUGAGUAUGAAAAAAACAUUAAAUUAGAGUUGAAUUUCGGUUAGUCAAUUGAUAAGUUUUUUGAGAUAUUUACUAAAUAUAGUUUAUUUUAAUUUGUGCAUUAACCAAGAUAAAAAUUUGCAAAGAUCAUACUUUUGUUAAAAUCUGUAAGCUUGGACAGAUUCUUUAACAUUUAACAUUUUUUUUGUAUGAAAAAGAGUGAAAGAUUUAUCCAUAAAAUAGAUGAACUACUUUUCUUAUUGUUAAUGGUUUUGAAAUGAAAUCUAAUAUUAUUGAUUAGGGUAUUACGAUAGUCUGGUUAACGUGUUGUGGUAGACUUUCACUACAUUUUUACAGUAGCACUUUUAUUAUCAACUUUCAUACCUAAACCAGUUUAUUUCUACUUUGAGUUUUUUUCUUCAGUAAAAAGAUCUACUUUGAGAGUUGAGUUUCAACCAAGUGUCUCGUUACACUAAUGUAUAUUGAUGUGUUUCUUUGCUCGUAUAUUUGUCAUGAUUUUUUUCUUAUGUAGAAAAAUGCUUAACUAUAUAUCAUAUCGCACAUUUUGGAUGGCAUAUUUAAUCUUUUGUUUAUAUAUCAUAUCAGAUGGCAGAAUCUGGUGAUUAUUCUUGUUCCAACUAUAGUAAGUACAUUAGUAUUCUCUCUAAUACUAUUCGGGGUCAUUUCAUGGUUCCGACGAGAUAAAGAUACGAAACGAUCAAACCCAAAAAGGGGACCAAAAUCACCAUUUGAAAACUUGUGGGAGUACGACGGGAAGAUAGUAUAUGAUGACAUAAUCGAAGCAGCGGAGCAUUUCGAUGACAAAUACUGCAUCGGAGCAGGAGGGUCAGGAAAAGUUUACAAAGUCGAAAUGUCAAGUGGUGAUGUAUUUGCGGUGAAGAAGCUCAACUUUUGGGACAGUGAUAUGGGGAUGGAGAACUUGAAGAGUUUCAAAAGCGAAGUAGCGACACUAACCGAGAUCCGUCAUCGAAACAUAGUUAAGCUUUAUGGAUUUUGCUCGAGAGGCGAACACACGUUUUUGGUAUACGAUUUCAUCGAAAGAGGGUGCUUAUGGGAAGUUUUGAGAAGUGAAGAGAACGCAAAAGAGGUUGAUUGGGUGAAGAGAGUUGAGAUAGUGAAGGGUGUGGCUGAGGCUUUGUGUUAUUUGCAUCAUGACUGUGUUCCAGCGAUCGUCCACCGUGACGUGACCUCGAAGAAUGUUUUGCUGGAUGUGGAUUUUGAAGCUCAUGUGGCGGAUUUUGGAACUGCAAGGUUUUUGAAGUUUGAUGCUUCGCAUUCCACUGGUGUUGUUGGCACUCAUGGCUACAUGGCACCAGGUUAGUAUAAUUUCAUUUUAGUUACUAUGCUUUUCUUAUGAUUUCCUUAGAACAUAUGAAUUUAUCUUUUGUCUAUAAAAAAAACUUCCUACUCCCUUCUACUUUUACUUGUAUAGAUUGUGAUAAACCCCUGCUAUGUCUAAAGUACUUGGACAGGAAAUACCAUUUUAAUUUAGUCUUAGUAUUUUGGACUUCGAUUCAUUGUUACUUCCUCCCUAUUUUUUAGAAUAGUACUGAUGGCACCUUCGAUAAAUUAGCUCUUUCCGUUAGUUUACCGUUGAUUUUUUAAAUGAUAAAAAAAUCUAUUAACAUUCCCUUUAAUCAUAAAUUGUGAAAAUAUAUACACUUCUCUGAGGGGGUUUUUGUGCAUCAACUCAUGAAUCAAUAUUAAAUAACUCUACUUAAUUUUUGUCAUGUUGGUCACAUGUUUGUCUUCUUAUCAUUAUAACCUACGUUAGUUUUUUACCAACAUUAAAAGCCAAUUUUUGUACCACUAUUAAUGCCACAAAUUUCUUGUAUUAAUUAAAAAUUGCAGAGCUCGCGUACACAAACAAAGUGACAGAAAAGUGUGACGUUUAUAGCUUUGGAGUGGUGAGUUUGGAAGUAUUGAUGGGAAGACAUCCAGGAGAAGCCCUUCUAUCUUUACAAAGUUCCCCUCAAAAGGGUAUUGAGAUGAAAGAAUUGUUGGAUUCUCGGCUUGCAUACCCUCGAAGAGGGAAGCUUUUAAGUGAAUUGAGUUCACUUGUGAGUAUAGCAAUAUCUUGUGUGCAGGCUGACCCUCAGUUACGCCCCACUAUGUAUUCUGUCUGCCAUCAGAUGGGAUUGAGAAAAAGUGCCUUCAUUAGAGAGGAGUCUGUUUGAAAGAAAAGCGUCGUUUUAGUUCGAUUCUUCAUUCAUACCGUUGUUGUAUUAAAAAAAAUUAAAAUAAUUAAAUUUACAUCAAUAAAUGCAUGAAAUAUAAUAUAUGAUUUUGCUAUUUGGAUCAUAACACACUAUUGCCUUUUAUUUUUUAACGUAUCACAUUGGAGCAGACCAUGUGUAUACUCAAUCGCGAUAACAUCUUUAUCCCAUUUUUUAUCUAUGUUGUGUUUUCAAGUUUUUCUCACUGUUAGUUAUUUUUUGGGUGAGAAAAAUGAAAUUUCGCCACAGGGUAUGACCAUUGUGUUAGGACUACAUCGCACAAUCAUCUCUAAAGAUGUAUAUAAUAUAGUGUUUGUUAUGUUUUUCUAUCCAUUUUUCGAAUUGUUCGUAUGACAGUGAAAAAAAAAGAUUGGGAGUCUCUACUAUCGCCCUAAGCAGUGACAUUCACGUACUAAAAUGUAAAUAAACUGAUGAUUUUUUCUUGUUACUUCGUAAUUUGCUGAAUCUAACUUUUUCACUCUCCAUUCAAAUGUACCUUUCAUUUUAGGCACAGGCAAUAGCCCAGGGCAUGGGUGUGAUAUUUACAUUCAUAUUCUUUUAGUUAAGUUAUAAAAAAGCAUGUGCCCCAAAAACUUAAUUGUGCUUGCUAUCAACAAUAAACAUUCACAUGUACCAAUUAUUUGGUUAUAGUGAUCGAUAUUAAAAUGAGAUUACAUUAACUCAUGAGGACAGAAAAUUUUCUUUGAGAAAAUGUAAAGAAAGAGGGCAUUACUUUUACUAAUGCUUUGACAUGCAUGUAACCCUAGAAAGGUUAGGCCAACUAAGCAUUAAAAUUUCUUUAUGGUUUAAUGUUGAUCAUCAAAUACAUGUUUUUUUUAUAAUUAUUUUGGCCUAACCUUAUAUUUACUUUCACAAAGAUUCUCAAAGAUUUGAUAGCUCUCUCUUACACAUACAAGGCUUUGUUAAGAAAACCACUUUGAUUUUGUCCAUAGUCUCGCCUCACCAUGUAUAGUUACUUGAAUAUUUGGGAACCACUGACAACCAGUAAUCUCAUAUCUAUUUAUUUCACCCAAAAAUAAACGAGACAAUAAUAAUUGAUAAUAGACUAUUGUGAUUUAUUUAUUAUUAACAUUUUUGGUGGACAUGACAUGACCAUACAUGUGAGGUUUUGAUUGAAUUUAGGGUUACUACGACCCAUCUUGAUGUUCUUUUGGACUUGCAUUGACUAUAAUUAAAUUAUAUAUAUAGAAACAUACAAGAGUCGUUGUCAAGUAGAGACAGGGUGCUAAAUUUUUCCCGUUGAUAUUUUCUUGUGUAACAUGGAUUGAUAUAGACACAAGGGGUAUUAAUGUUAAAAUAUGGAUUAAAGCAUAAAGUGGGAGAAUCGAAUAUCUGACUUUAAAGAAGGAAACAAGCAGAUCAUAGUGCGUAUGGGAAUCCCCAAACGGGCUAGAGCGAAGCCCAAUGGUACAUAACCAUUAAUCAAAAUUAAUAACAUAAAUAUUAGGGUAAUUGUAAUUGAUGGCUAUUUUAGUAAUAAUAAUUAAAGAUAUAGCAAUAUUUUAAAAAAUUUGUAAAUAUAGCAAAACUAUCGCUGAUAAACUUGUAUCAUUGAUAGAGUGAUAGACCAAUAUUUGCAACAUGGUCUAUCGAUGAUAAACUCCUAUCAUGGAUAGAAUUUGAUAAAAUUUUGUUAUAUUCUUAAUUAUUUUGAAUCUAAUUGCUAAAUUUGCAACUAUCCCUAAAUAUUAUGUUAAUUGAGUUACAUUAUACUCAUUUUAACAAUAUAUGUAGAUAGUUUUUCGUUGGAUAUACUCAUGUCCGAUGUUUUCUUUCAAAGAAUAAUAAUACAAAAGGUUAAUUAAUUGACAUGGAAACUGAGCUUUUGUUUGGAUUGGACAUCUAGAUUACCGUAUUUGUUUUACAAUACUGAGAUGUUCUGUGUUUUGAUGUUUAGAGAUUUUGGAAUUGGGUCCAUUCUCAUUUUAUAUUUUAGCCAUUUUUAAUUUUUUUCACAUAUAUAUUAAUCUUCAUUUUACACUAUAUAAUUAAAAUAAAUAGGGUCAACUAUUGACAUUGUUUUUUUUUUAUUAUAUCAUAUUUCUUAGUGUUAUUUUUUUAUGAGAUAUUCAAAAUUCAAAAUUUAUCUAUUUUAUAAAAUCUAUCAUGCUAUAUUAUUUUGUUAUAUAAAAGUAAUGUAAAUUUUAUUAUUUUAAAAGAAAAUUCAAGUAGAUAAAAAUAAGUGACUUAUUUUUAAAUAUAAAAAAAAUGAAAAAAAAUAUUUAUAAAAAUAAAUACAACGUUCUUAGAUUUUAUUUAACAUAUUUUGUACAUCAAGAAGAUAAAAAAAAACCCUCUUUUUCAUGCAACUUUCUAACAUAUUAUUUUAUAACAAAAAGAAAAAAAGAAAAAAAAAGAACAUCAAACAAAGAAACGAAUAUAUAAACAAGAGAAAAGUAUUACAUAAAGGAUCAAGAUAUAUGAUCACAUCUAUAUUUAUUGAAAUGGAAACAUUACAUAAAAAACAGACCACUAACACACUAACUAUAUACAUACAUAGACCACAAGUACUCGUCCCAACCUAAUUACAAUUCUCCCUUGAUCAAUCACAUUAAGCCAAGACCACUAACUCCUAAACAAAAGCGAAUAGCAUAGAAAUCAACCACUAAUUCUAUUACUUACAAACUACAUUUGCACUUAUUAUUCUUAAACACAUUUUAGAUAAUCUGUUUGAACUGACGUUUCAAGGGUUUAUACCUCAAAGUAGUUUUUCUUCUAAAGCACUUGAAAAGAAAUUUCAAAGAGGCCCUUAGAUACUUGUAGUUUAUAUUACACUUUAGGACACUAUAUUCAUAUAUUAUUGUCCAUAUAUUUUUCUCUAAGUUUUAACUUUCUCCUUUUGCUGAGAUGUUUGCUUUUGAGGUCCUCCUCCUCCCCAUCCACCACCCCAUUGACUACCGUAGGAGCCGGGGUCCCAUGGAUUCUCCAAAGCUUCCUGAGUUCCAUAUCGUUGUCCUUAACAAAAAAGAAGAAAAAACAUAAUAAAUUAAUUUUGUGUUCUUAAGGUUAUUUAUUGUAUGUUAUAUACUUCUUUCUUAAUUUUUUUUAUUUAUAACAAGGGCAUAACUUCAACCAUAAUUAACCAACAUUCUUCUGUUAGAGAUGGAAGUAAUUCAAAUCUUCAUGCUUAAACAUUUGAAUUUUUAGUCAAAAUUUUACGGAAAUGAUUGAUGUAGACUAUCAAACAUAUGGACAUGAUUUUUAAAACAACUCCUAAAAAAUAAGCAAUAAAUUAAAAAAAUCGAAGGAGCAUCGUGUUCAUCUAAGCUUAAUUCUUAAAAACAAAUGUGUGGCUCUAGAUAAUUUGAAAGAAGAAUGUGAACUACUUUUACUGCUCUCUUUCUGUCCUGAUCUGUUAUUCCUUCUCGAGUUCAAAAAAGCAAAUCAAGCUCAAGACAUGGGAUAAAUUUAAUCGGAAUAAUUGGUUUAGACGUAAAGAUCACUAGAAUAUAUGAAUUUAAUUACUAUAAAGUACUUGGACGAAUCAUAACUUGUUUUUAAACGAAACCUAUCAACGAAUGGUCGAUUAAUUUUCUAAUGUACAAAAUUUGGCCUCGACGUUUUUCUGUAGAGUCCAAAAUGUUUGUAAAAAAUUUCCCAACAUUACUUUGUGUUUCAGAGUUGGAAAAGGCUUUCCCGAAAAGCAGUUUUCGUCAGAAAAAUCUCCGUUACGCUUUUCUUGGACUUUUCCCAACUCUUGUCAUCCAUUGGAAACAAAUUUGAAUGUUCAUUGAAGGACCAAAAUAUGAGGAACUGUUAAACUAAUAAAAACCUAAAACAGAUUUGAGUAUUAAAUAAAAACAUGGGCUGUAUAAUUUUUUCUUGAACUUAAAUGAAAUGUAUGAAAUAAAUAUCAACAAUAUAUUUAUACACAAUGAAUAUGUUGGUGCAAAUAUGGUAAAUAUGAUUUAAAUUUGGAAAUUAGAAAUUUGAGUUGGGGGAUGAAAACAGUAUACCAUUAACAUUAGGAGAUGUAAGCAAAUGCCUUUUUGAGGUGACAGUGGUAGUGAAGAGAAGCAGAAGACUAAAGACAAUAGCAACUAUUGUUGAGAAGUGCUUCUUGGAAGCCAUUUUUUUUUUCUUUUAUAUACUUCUUAUUUUUGU